AGAGUUUGAUCCUGGCUCAGAAUGAACGCUGGCGGCGUGCCUAACACAUGCAAGUCGGAUGUGCCCGCAAGGGUGCAUGGCAGACGGGUGAGUAACGCGUGGGGAACCUACCUCUUUGUGGGGAAUAACGUUCCGAAAGGAAUGGUAAUACCGCAUGAGACCUUCGGCUGGGAUGCUGGAGGUGAAACCCGGGGACCGUAAGGCCUGGGGCAAGGAGAGGGUCCUGCGUCUGAUUAGCUAGUUGGCGGGGUAAUGGCCCACCAAGGCGACGAUCAGUAGCCGGCCUGAGAGGGUGAUCGGCCACACUGGAACUGAGACACGGUCCAGACUCCUACGGGAGGCAGCAGUGGGGAAUUUUGCGCAAUGGACGAAAGUCUGACGCAGCAACGCCGCGUGGGUGAUGAAGGUCUUCGGAUUGUAAAACCCUGUCGUCAGGGACGAAGGUUGGGGCUUUAAUAGAGUUUCAACUUGACGGUACCUGGAGAGGAAGCCCCGGCUAACUCUGUGCCAGCAGCCGCGGUAAUACAGAGGGGGCAAGCGUUAUUCGGAAUUACUGGGCGUAAAGGGCGCGUAGGCGGUUCUUUAAGUCGGAUGUGCAAUCCCCGAGCUCAACUUGGGAACUGCAUCCGAAACUGGGGAGCUAGAGUGCUGGAGAGGGUGGUGGAAUUCCACGUGUAGCGGUGAAAUGCGUAGAGAUGUGGAGGAACACCAGUGGCGAAGGCGGCCACCUGGACAGUAACUGACGCUGAGGCGCGAAAGUGUGGGUAGCAAACAGGAUUAGAUACCCUGGUAGUCG
rnacentral:rRNA from 1 species